rnacentral:lncRNA from 1 species
CUCCAGAUGGGACCAUCUAGUUGCAGGAAAACAAGCUCAGUGCUCCGACUGUUUCUACAUUAUGAUCCUGUAAUCAAUCUCUUAAUAAUUUUUGUUUAAGGAUGACUUUCCCAAAAAAGGAGAAAAGAAGAGGCACAUAGGAAGAUCCUGGAAUGACCUAGUGGCCUUGGGCUAUAACGUAUUCAACUGUCUGAGGUGGGAAGACAGGCAGAAACUAUACGUGCAAGGCCCUGUGGCCAGAGGAAUGAUCACUAAAAGCAAUGGAUUGAAAAGGCAGAUAAUCUCAACUUUAGAAAGUGAAGAAGCAGAUGAGACUGGAGAGGUAUCAAGGUACCAGAUCACAGGGGCUUGUCAGCAAUUUAAUGAAGUUAAUCUUUAUCCUAAGGACACCGGGAAGUCACUGAGAGAUUUUUAUGCAAUAAGGUACAUGAACAAAUAUGCCAGAUUCUUAUUUGACUGCAGUGUGGAAAACAGAAUUAAGAGGCAAAAGUGGCAAUCAAACAAAUUAGGGUCUGGGUUUUUUUGUUUAUUUUUGCAAUGUCUAGUCUAAAGAAAUACGAUCUGGGUCUAGAAAGGUGCUGUGGGAGAUGAGGUGCUUUGGGGAUCUGCUUCACACUACCUAAUAAAUUAUUAC